rnacentral:rRNA from 1 species
GACGAACGCUGGCGGCGUGCUUAACACAUGCAAGUCGAACGGAAAGGCCCUGCUUUUGUGGGGUGCUCGAGUGGCGAACGGGUGAGUAACACGUGAGUAACCUGCCCUUGACUUUGGGAUAACUUCAGGAAACUGGGGCUAAUACCGGAUAGGAGCUCCUGCUGCAUGGUGGGGGUUGGAAAGUUUCGGCGGUUGUGGAUGGACUCGCGGCUUAUCAGCUUGUUGGUGGGGUAGUGGCUUACCAAGGCUUUGAAGGGUAGCCGGCCUGAGAGGGUGACCGGCCACAUUGGGACUGAGAUACGGACCAGACUCCUACGGGAGGCAGCAGUGGGGAAUAUUGCACAAUGGGCGGAAGCCUGAUGCAGCAACGCCGCGUGCGGGAUGACGGCCUUCGGGUUGUAAACAGCUUUCGCCUGUGACGAAGCGUGAGUGACGGUAAUGGGUAAAGAAGCACCGGCUAACUACGUG